CUUGUGGUAAUAUUAACUUUGUGUGUCAUUCGAUAAGGCUUUAGAUAGGCACAACGAGAUCAUUAAUACCAAAGCUAGGACUCUAUUGACGAUUGUCACUUACAAAAUGCCUAUGUUCCAAGAUUCCCUGAAAAUUUCAAGCUCUAAUUCCAGUCCGUAUUCACUGGCUUAUUUUGGACUUUCCCCAUUACCAAUUUGACGGUUUUUUGCUUGUGGUAAUAUUAACUUUGUGUGUCAUUCGAUAAGGCUUUAGAUAGGCACAACGAGAUCAUUAAUACCAAAGCUAGGACUCUAUUGACGAUUGUCACUUACAAAAUGCCUAUGUUCCAAGAUUCCCUGAAAAUUUCAAGCUCUAAUUCCAGUCCGUAUUCACUGGCUUAUUUUGGACUUUCCCCAUUACCAAUUUGACGGUUUUUUGCUUGUGGUAAUAUUAACUUUGUGUGUCAUUCGAUAAGGCUUUAGAUAGGCACAACGAGAUCAUUAAUACCAAAGCUAGGACUCUAUUGACGAUUGUCACUUACAAAAUGCCUAUGUUCCAAGAUUCCCUGAAAAUUUCAAGCUCUAAUUCCAGUCCGUAUUCACUGGCUUAUUUUGGACUUUCCCCAUUACCAAUUUGACGGUUUUUUGCUUGUGGUAAUAUUAACUUUGUGUGUCAUUCGAUAAGGCUUUAGAUAGGCACAACGAGAUCAUUAAUACCAAAGCUAGGACUCUAUUGACGAUUGUCACUUACAAAAUGCCUAUGUUACAAGAUUCCCUGAAAAUUUCAAGCUCUAAGCCCAGUCCGUAUUCACUGGCUUAUUUUGGACUUUCCCCUUUACCAAUUUGACGUUUUUUGUUGCGAUAUUGUUCCCUGAUUUCAAGACAAUAGUAACAACUGUCUUUGUUCCCAUGCUUGUAUUCGUUUUGCAAUUUCGUUUUUGUAUGCUUUUUUGCUGCAUAGGCUAGAUAUAUUUCUAUGCAUUUAACAUUUCACAUCUUUAGUAUAGUUAGUCGAAUAUAACAAAUUGGGGACAGUCUUUCCAGUAUUUUAGAUGAUUUAUCACCUUACAGGUAUUCUAAAUAUUUUUAACAAAAUAUCACUGAUUUUAAUUGAACAUAUUUUUAUGGUAUUUUGAUUAGCAAUGAGAAAAAUUUUUUGUUUUCAUAGAAUUUUAGAACCUGCAGAGUUUGAUUUACGUGAUUCAACGAUCCCUCAAUUAAGAUAGGUUUUUUAAAUCCGGUUCUUGAUAAGGGAAAUAAUGUCAGCCAUUGCACAUAAUGGUUGGUUGAUUGUGCGCAAUGACAAGUUGUCAGUUUCUUUUAGGAAAACUCCUAUAUAAGAAGCUAAUGCCAUUAGAGAAGAGGCACGUACAUGGAUGGGGUAUCUCCCAUUUUGUAACACAAUCAGAGAAGAGAUAAUAAAACAUCUUGUAUUCCAAAAACUUUGUUUCACUGUGGCUAUUUUUUAAAUAAAAUUUGUCCUUAAAAUAGGUUUUUAUUUCAUUUGCCGGUUAUUAAUGAUACAAAAUAGAGUGUUAAGGAGACAAAACAUUCCUUUUUUGGAAAAAAUGCAGCCUUUCAUUCCACUUCAAUUUGCUAUUUUCCUAAUGGAUGAAAGUUACGAAAAGUUACUUUAAAUAAUGAAAUGUUAUGAGCUGCUUUUUACAUGUUACAAAAACCAAAGAACUUGUACAAAUAUGCUGAACUGUAAAGCAACACAUUACUAAGAAGAGCAAAUGUUCUGAAUAAACUACAUAUAACAGCUUAAAAAUCAAACUAAUGAAUAUUACUAUUUAAUGGUCUGUCGUUAAGUGCGUCGUAAAGACAGCUAUAUACACGAAAUCAAACUUAGUGUUGGACUAAGUGGUGGAAAUCAUUUUCUUCUAAAUUAUUAGCUUCUUUAUAUUUAUACAAACAUGUAAAUAUGUUUAUUGCUGAAAAUAUGGAUGAAAUGAAACGAAAAUUGUUUCUUGUUGACCCAUUUCGUGCAUGUUGAUAGUGGUCAAGCAAGACCACAACAACAUCGAGCAGCAACAACACAGGCUUUGAAUAUGACAAUGAAUGUUGAAUGAACAGGACACAACUUGAAUUUAAAUGUGAAAAUGCUGAUUCAUGUCGAAAAACAAUAGUUACUUACAAAUGAGAUAGCUCAUUUGCAGCUUAAUGGGUUCCUGUUGCAUUUCUCGUGGGUGCAGGUAGUCACUCAAACUGUAAGAAGGACGUCAGUUUCUGCUGCUCUUAGAAAAAGAAGGUCUCUCCAAAAUGGCUGAUGGCAAAAACAGGACAAUUAAGAUAAAAACAAUCUACGCUGUGCUAGGUGUACUUUCCAUCGGUAUUUUGAUGAUUGCAUUGAACGUAUAUCAGCUGUACCACCUUCCAUGGGAACAUGCGUUGACUGGGUUUGCAAUGCCCAAACCAAAAGUGGCAUGGAUAUUUUCAAAAGAGGUAUAUCAUCUGAAUCAUGUGAUGAAUGUUUUUGGAAGACUUGGCUACACAACUGUUCAUGCAACUUCACCACCAAUGCAAUGGGAUGUGAUGUGGUCCUUUGAGUAUCCAUUUAGAAAAGAAAUGUCCCAUAUGUUGAAAAAUCUAAAUAAAUAUCAGAUGGUUAACCAUGUUCCAGGUUCAGGAUUUAUCACACUCAAGGUUGAGCUUGCAACAUCAAAAUUAAAGUGGAUUCCAAAGGCUUUCCAAAUACCCAAAGAGAAGUCUGCAUUGAUGACAGAAGCAAAGCUAAACCCUAAUAAUUUAUGGGUUCAGAAAAGCAAUGACCACCGGGGCAUAAAGAUUGUCAGCAUGAAUGAUUUGGAUUUCAAAGCUGAAGGCUCUUUUGUCCAAUUGUAUAUAUCAAAUCCCCUACUCAUUGACAAAAGAAAAUUUGACAUUGGAGUUUAUGCUGUAGUGACAUCUGUUAACCCACUUAGAGUUUACCAUUAUGAAGAGGAGAUUUUGAUCAGAUUUUGUCAAACUGACUAUGAGCCACUUGAUGUGAAUGAUAUAACAAAGUAUGUUGUGGGUGCAGAUUAUGAUGCUCCUUCGCAGAUGCCUUCGCUACAAGGGUACUUCAAUCAUGGGCAUUUUAGUCGCAAGCAAGCACUGUUCGGCUACCUACAGAGUCAAGGAAAAGACACAAAAAAGCUUUGGAAAGACGUCAGGCAAGCAAUCAGAGAGACGUUCAUUGCAAAGGAAAAACAGAUGAGUGAAAUGAUGGCCCAUUAUAAAUCAACGAACAACUUCUUUGAGCUGGUGCGGUUUGACUUUGUUAUAGAUAGCAAUAUGAACUUAUGGCUGAUGGAGGUCAAUAUGUCACCAAACUUGUCAUCGGCGGGACACACUGAAAAUGCCCUCAUGUAUGAGCAGGUUGUUUACUAUGCAUUGCAGUUGGCUGGUGCUGGAUUGCUAACAGCUAAGGCUGAAAGCGAGGAAAGUGAACAGAUGUUUGUGAAUGACAGAGAUCUUAUGGUUGACAGCGAGCGAUGCAGAAAGUUAGAGUGCCUUUCAUCUUGUGGUGUUGAGUGUAGCCUGUGCGUACAAUGCUUGUCAGAUGACAUGAAAGUCCAUUUUAAACGAGCCUUCCUGGAACAUAAUAGCAGAGGGAAUUAUCGCCGAGUACUGCCUGUGCCAAAGCUCAACACCCUUUUGGUUUAAUUGGUAUUGUUUACAUGAAUAAUUUGGCAUCGACAUCAGUCUUGUGUUUUUCUUGAGAUUGAGAAAGAAGCCAUGAUGAAACAAGAUCUUAAGCCUUCUGGAGUGAAAAACGAACUUCUUGAUCGUUGGUUUGACAGAAAAUGUGAGCAAGACAUCGCUUGGUGCUACUAAGUUUCAAACAACUGCUGUUCUCUUUGGAGUCAACUGGAUGAGGAUUCUUCCCUGUUAUACCUUCCAUGAGCUGUCUCCCCAGUGGAUUUCCCAUUCAUUUGUCAUCUAAAAGCAAAUAUUCAGCAAAGGAGAAAUAUAAAAUUCCUGCCAUCUUCCUUGCAUUCGAUGUAUAAGCAGUAUUGGCUCAUUUCAACCAUUUCACGAGUCCUCAAAACAUCGAGACAUCGUUUUGGAAAUGUAAUUCUUGUGAUUUUUGUUGGCAUCCUCACUGAAUCAAUUAUUCUGGAAAGUUAUAAGAAGAACCUUCCCAGUACCUUUUCUUUCUCGUGUCAGAAAAAUUGAGGCUUUCAAAGACUAUCCUCUGUAUAGAAUUUAGAAUUUGAAUCGCUUGUUUUUAGGGUGAACAUUUCGCUUCGAAGGUAUUUCUUGUUAAAGGUGGCACAUUAUUUUCAUUUCGCACCCAGCUGCUGUUUAUAAUUUUAUGACGUCACGUUGCUGGUUUUACGUGACCGAAACUAGUACAUCUUUUAAAGUUGGCUGUACAUUUCUGUCCGUAGUCUUUUUCACAAAACGAAUGAAUGAAUUCAAGUGACGUUUAGUAAUUUUAUUUACAAUAAACGCAAUUUAAAAUCAUGUUACAAUAUUAAUUAUAUUUCCUUUUAUUUUCAUAAUCUGCCUUUGACGAAACUUGUAUCAUUGAAUUUCAGGCGUAACAAUUCCCAUUGACUUUGGUCACAGGAAAAUUACCAAUAGAAUGUAUCAAUUUCUAUUUCACUGCCUUUUGUGUGACCUUCAUCUGAUAAGCCUGAAGGUGUUGCGAAAACAUAUAAGAUGUUAUCAGUAAAAAUGUUAAGAAAGAUAACAUCAAUAUGAAUUGCAUUCAAGGACGCUGUAUUGUCCCAAUGCCCAAAAUCAACUGUGGCUAACCUUUUGUCACAAACUGUGUUCAGCUUAAGAGCUAGAAAUAACAGUUUCAACUGGUGAAAACAAAUACAGCGAAUGGAUAAUGAAAAUAACCGUUAACCUGUCUGUUACCGUUAUCUUUACUCUUUAUCAUAUAGACAUGUAACUCUGAUUAUCGCAUUUAGCGUGAACCAUGGGGGUAGUUAGGAUUUUGACAUUGGGGGGCCCGACAUUUUUUACCAACAUAAAGAAAUUAUAAUAUCAAAAAUAACGUAUUAAGGUAACACAAACAUGUACAAACAAACACAGUCAUGACAGAGAGGGUUAAAGACAACAUGUGCACAUUUUCAAACUCAGUGUGAUCUGCAAACAUUUUGGUUUCUGGACUAUCUAGAAUUCAACAACCCGAUUAACCAGUAUAGCUAAAACAGUGAACUUUUUUUGAGUAAGUUCAACCGUUUAUUGAAAUAUCAAAACAAUUUUUCUUAUAUUGCGAACAGCUGAAGAUGAAAGCCAUGUAGCCAACGCUGACGUCGUUAAUGGUAAAUAUUUGGAAUUUUAGUAUUAACAUUGAAACCACAACAUUAUAAUAUGUUCUCGAGUUCUUUGAAUUGAGAAAAAAGAUCUUUCUUUAAUAACGUAAUUAAGUUAUCAAUAUAUAUUUAAAUUGACGAAUCUAUAUUUCUUAUAAACGUUGUUCAAAUUCUUCAUCUAUUCCUUGUUGUGGAAACGAAAAUUGUAAAUCUUCAGUGAACGAGCGACCCCCGUUCUUGUCUUCUAAGAAUUAGCCACCUCCGUCCUUGUUACUAAAGAACAUGCGCAUUUUCUCUGCUAUUAAAAAGCAGAGUUUACCAAUUCAUUCAAAAGAAUUAUAAAAAGUGCAAUCAUUUACUUAUUAAGAUUCAUAACUCUAUGCUUACUUUUUAACCAAGAAGCGUUUCGGUCUGAUGUUCUAACUAGAAUCUCUGCGGUAAUUUCUAGAAAAUUGAGAGGUAGAAUAUAUAGGGGUAAAGUAGUAAAGUAAAAAGAUCCUGUUCUAUGUAAACAUAUUAAUUCUGGGUUUGGAUACAUAUAGGAAGUGGAAGGGGGGAGGGCAUAUGAAAUAUCUGGGCACUCACCAUCUUGACAGAACCUCGGUCAUUGCUAACAAGAAGAAAACAAAUACCUUCGCAAUUGAUCGUUUAUUAAACAUUACAGGGUUGAAUAGGAGACAAAUGAAAAGAAAUGAAAGAGCAGCUUUGU